CAGAAAUGACAGGAGGACUCAUUUUG
rnacentral:piRNA from 1 species